rnacentral:rRNA from 1 species
UACGGAGGAUGCGAGCGUUAUCCGGAUUUAUUGGGUUUAAAGGGUGCGUAGGCGGGCUUUUAAGUCAGCGGUAAAAAUUCGGGGCUCAACCCCGUCCGGCCGUUGAAACUGGCAGUCUCGAGUUGGAGAGAAGUAUGCGGAAUGCGCGGUGUAGCGGUGAAAUGCAUAGAUAUCGCGCAGAACUCCGAUUGCGAAGGCAGCUCACUGGACUGCAACUGACACUGAGGCUCGAAAGUGUGGGUAUCAAACAGG